rnacentral:rRNA from 1 species
UACGUAGGGUGCAAGCGUUGUCCGGAAUUAUUGGGCGUAAAGAGCUCGUAGGCGGUCUGUCACGUCGGCUGUGAAAUCCCGAGGCUCAACCUCGGGUCUGCAGUCGAUACGGGCAAACUAGAGUAUUGCAGGGGAGACUGGAAUUCCUGGUGUAGCGGUGAAAUGCGCAGAUAUCAGGAGGAACACCGGUGGCGAAGGCGGCUCUCUGGGACGGUACUGACGCUGAGACGCGAAAGCGUGGGGAGCGAACAGG